rnacentral:rRNA from 1 species
UACGUAGGUGGCAAGCGUUAUCCGGAUUUAUUGGGUUUAAAGGGUGCGUAGGCGGUCCCAUAAGUCAGUGGUGAAAUACUCUAGCUUAACUAGAGGGGUGCCAUUGAUACUGCGGGACUGAGUGGAGUUGAAGUGGGCGGAAUUGACGGUGUAGCGGUGAAAUGCGUAGAUAUCGUAAGGAAGACCAGUGGCGAAGGCGAGUCUCUGGACAGCAACUGACGCUGAGGCACGAAGGCCAGGGGAGCAAAACGGGG